GUGAACGCUGGCGGUAGGCCUAACACAUGCAAGUCGAACGGCAGCACAGUAAGAGCUUGCUCUUACGGGUGGCGAGUGGCGGACGGGUGAGGAAUACAUCGGAAUCUACUUUUUCGUGGGGGAUAACGUAGGGAAACUUACGCUAAUACCGCAUACGACCUACGGGUGAAAGCAGGGGAUCUUCGGACCUUGCGCGAUUGAAUGAGCCGAUGUCGGAUUAGCUAGUUGGCGGGGUAAAGGCCCACCAAGGCGACGAUCCGUAGCUGGUCUGAGAGGAUGAUCAGCCACACUGGAACUGAGACACGGUCCAGACUCCUACGGGAGGCGGCGGUGGGGAAUAUUGGACAAUGGGCGCAAGCCUGAUCCAGCCAUACCGCGUGGGUGAAGAAGGCCUUCGGGUUGUAAAGCCCUUUUGUUGGGAAAGAAAAGCAGCAGGUUAAUACCCCGCUGUUCUGACGGUACCCAAAGAAUAAGCACCGGCUAACUUCGUG
rnacentral:rRNA from 1 species